rnacentral:rRNA from 1 species
CAAAAACAUUGCUCUUUGAAUUAGGUGAUAAAGAGUAUGGCCUGCCCAAUGAUUUAUUUUUAAUGGCCGCAGAAUUUUAACUGUGCUAAGGUAGCAUAAUCAUUUGUUAUUUAAUUAAUAACUAGUAUGAAUGGUUUAACGAUUCUAUUCUGUCUUAUUUAUAUUAAUUAAAAUUUGAUUUUAAUGUUAAAAAGCAUUAAUGAUAUAAAAAGACAAAAAGACCCUAUAGAGUUUUAUUUUUAUGUUUAUAUUUUAAUUCAGCAAAAUUUAGUUGGGGCAACUUUAAAUUAUAUAAAUAUUUUUAAAUAAAAAUUAAAAUAAAUUAUCAUUUAUUAAAUAAAUCAAAACAAAUUACCUUAGGGAUAACAGCAUAUAUUUUCUUUUAGAGUUCAUAUCGACAAGAAAAAUUAUGACCUCGAUGUUGGAUUAAGGUAACUAAAAAUAGAAAAAAAUUUAAUAAGUUAGUC